rnacentral:snoRNA from 1 species
GGGUCAAGUGACGAGGUUUACAACUGCAACCAAAUGAAAGGAGGUUUGCUCCUGUUAUUAUAUUAUUUGAUAUUUGAGUAGCAGUCC